GACGUACAAUCAUCAUGCCCCUUAUGACCUGGGCUACACACGUGCUACAAUGGUUGGUACAACGAGUUGCGAGUCGGUGACGGCGAGCUAAUCUCUUAAAGCCAAUCUCAGUUCGGAUUGUAGGCUGCAACUCGCCUACAUGAAGUCGGAAUCGCUAGUAAUCGCGGAUCAGCACGCCGCGGUGAAUACGUUCCCGGGCCUU
rnacentral:rRNA from 1 species